GUAUAGAUGUGCGGGAGGAAAAACCCCCGCAUAAGUCGAAGGUGUGACGCGGACCGAAAAAGAGUAGGGAAGCUGUUAAGCAAGCCGUCAAGAAAAGCUGCUAUUGUUUCAUUAUGGCCCGUACCGUAAACCGACACAGGUGGAUGGGGAGAGAAUCCUAAGGCCGGCGGAAGAAGUAUUGUUAAGGAACUCGGCAAAAUGACCCCGUAACUUCGGGAGAAGGGGUGCCUGCGAGAGCAGGCCGCAGAGAAGAGGCCCAAGCAACUGUUUAGCAAAAACACAGGUCUAUGCAAAACCGAAAGGUGAGGUAUAUGGGCUGACGCCUGCCCGGUGCUGGAAGGUUAAGGGGAGUGGUCAGGAAACGAAGCCACGAACUUAAGCCCCAGUAAACGGCGGCCGUAACAAUAACGGUCCUAAGGUAGCGAAAUUCCUUGUCGGGUAAGUUCCGACCCGCACGAAAGGCGUAAUGAUUUGGGCGCUGUCUCGACAAUACAUCCGGUGAAAUUGAAGUGCCAGUGAAGAUGCUGGCUACCUGCGCCAGGACGGAAAGACCCCAUGGAGCUUUACUCCAGCUUGAUACUGGGACCCGGUAUUGCAUGUACAGGAUAGGUGGGAGGCUAGGAAAUGUGGACGCCAGUCUGCAUGGAGCCGCUGUUGGGAUACCACCCUUGUGGUGCUGGGUUUCUAACCAGAGGCCGUGAACCGGUCUGGGGACAAUGUCAGGUGGGGAGUUUGACUGGGGCGGUCGCCUCCGAAAGGGUAUCGGAGGCGCCCAAAGGUUCCCUCAGAAUGGUUGGAAACCAUUCGAAGAGUGCAAAGGCAGAAGGGAGCUUGACUGCGAAACCGACGGGUGGAGCAGGUACGAAAGUAGGGCUUAGUGAUCCGGUGGAAUUUAAGUGGGAAUGCCAUCGCUCAACGGAUAAAAGCUACCCUGGGAUAACAGGCUGAUCACUCCCAAGAGUUCACAUCGACGGAGUGGUUUGGCACCUCGAUGUCGGCUCAUCGCAUCCUGGGGCUGAAGUCGGUCCCAAGGGUUGGGCUGUUCGCCCAUUAAAGCGGUACGCGAGCUGGGUUCAGAACGUCGUGAGACAGUUCGGUCCCUAUCCGGCGUGGGCGUAGGAUAUCUGAGAGGAGCUGUCCUUAGUACGAGAGGACCGGGAUGGACUGACCUCUGGUGUACCGGUUGGCGAUCAACGCCACGGCCGGGUAGCCAUGUCGGGACGGGAUAAACGCUGAAGGCAUCUAAGCGUGAAGCCCCCCUCAAGAUGAGAUAUCCCAUCGUAAGAGUAAGACCCCUUGAAGACGACGAGGUUGAUAGGGCAGGGGUGGAAGUGCUGUAAGGCAUGGAGCUGACUGCUACUAAUCGGUCGAGGGCUUGACCG
rnacentral:rRNA from 1 species